UUUAAUAUUGUUUCUCCCAAUUCUCUCCUUGGCCGCGUUUCUCCGCCGCCGUCUGGAGCAUCGGUAAGCAAGCCGCCGCCGCCGCCGCAGUGCGCAUCAUCCGUUCCGGCUAAAUUGUUCCGCCAUCACUUCUGCUCUUCCAUUCGAGAAAGGAGGGAUUUUGGAAAGGUGAAUUAGGAGAGUGAGUUGUGAAGAUGAAAAACAGAGGUGAUCCUGAGCAGCAGAAACAGAAUAAUGCAUCAUUUGUUGUGAAAAUACCUUCAUAUGAAGGGGUGGUUGAGAGCUCCCAACCUAAGUCGCAAUCUUUAUUCAAGCCUUCCUCCUCCUUUUCGCAAGCUUUCAAAAACACUGAAUUUUACACCACCCCGCCGUCUGCACCAGUGGCUCAGUCCUCCAAAGAUGCCCCUACAUCCUCUCAAGGAUCCCAUCCAAGGCAAACCAUUCAUUCUGAAGCUCCAUCCACUUCAGUUUCAUCAGCUGGUGCAAAUCGGAAUGCCAUCAUCGUAAGCCAUAGACAGGUGAGUUACUUUUGUUG